CUGCAAACUUGAGAUGGUUGAAAAUUCUUGAUCCAGAUUGUUUAUUCUACUAAGUUCGAUUAUGUGUAGAUCUGGUUCAUUCAAUUAAAUCUAGCUUUGUUUUAGUACAAGUUAGUAUAAUUUUGUAUUUCCAACAAUCUUGCAUUAAAGUCGCCUAGAUCUUGAAUUCAGUGUGUAAAUUCUCUUGAAUGUGUUCCAUAACUUUUGCAAGUUCCGUUUAGAUAUUAGCUACUUGUUUAAAUCCCACUUCCUUUGUAUCUGCCAUCCCAAAUUUCCACUUUCUAAUGCAUCUAUAUUUCUACUCCUGCUGCAUUUUAUUUGUUUUUCUUACUCUCCUUCUUACACCUAUUAUCUCAAUUUACGUCUUACUUUUCAUCUCAACUCUUACUUUACAAGUUAAUAUGCUUCAACUUUUGCAACUUUGGUUGGGCUAAGCCGUCUCUAAUCUCCAGUUUUCAGAUAAUACUACAUUUUCCCUCUUAGACCAAGUGCUAUGGUUCCAUUAUAUGCUUCUUGAUGGUGUGGAUUUUGAUUGUUAAUUUUGAACUUACAAUGGUUCUCAUUUGGAAAAGUAAUUGGGGUAGUAUUGAUGUUUCUAAUCACAUUAUUUAUGUUUUUUGAGUCUGUUAACUUGUCUCAGUGUUAGUGAUGGAUCAGUUAGUUUUGAGCACGGUGAAUGAGUACUCGCGUCAAUUAUAUUUUGAACAUGGUAAGUGGUGACUGAGAGUAUUUAGUCACAUUCAAGCAAAUUGAUAUCAUCUCUGCUACUCAUCUUAGUUAGGUGUCUUUUUGGGUGUGGAUAUAGAAGAUUAGUUGUUGUGGGUUUUCCUUAAGAGGAAGGAGGGUGAUUUCCAGGAAGGUUGCCGUGUGAGGAAUUUUUUUUUCGGAAAAUGGUUUUGGGAUCCCUAUUGGAAACUCUGUUUUGCUUAAAAUGAUUGAUAACAAGUGUGGCCUUCAAGAAAAAUGAUUGAUAACAAGUUAGGCCUUCAACAAAUAUGAUUGAAGGGAAAACGAUCUAAUAUUUUAGGACAUUUGGAUUGACUGAAAUGCUUAAUAUAUGAAAGAGCAUCACUUGCCUCAUGUAUGGAAUAGUGUGAAACCUUUUCUCCUUUUUCUUUUAUGAUAAAGCGGAGAGUGAUUUUGUAACACCACGGUCUGAAGCAGAGAUGUCAAGCUUAAAAUCUGCACGCACUAACUAAGCUCUCAGCAUGAUGCUGAUUAUUUGAGUCAUUUGGGAUAGAAAUAGUAAGGCAAGUUUUGACAGUCUUAAUUAAUUUAUUAAUUUGAUCAUCUGAAUUUCAUCUUGUGAGUGAGUGGUGUGAUUAAACAAAGCUUUGCUUAAACCUGAGAUAUUGAAGUUAUGAUAUGAAUUAGUUACCCAAGUAAGGUUUAAGCUCAUUCUUGUUCUUGAAUGGAGGUUUAUUCGGACCAUAAAGAGUGGUCAUGCUCAGCCAGGCAUUAUGUUACGAGGAUAGAGUUUGGCUUCUGUAAUAGGUCUUGGACGAAAUUGAAGCCACCUCAUGUAAGUUUCAAAAUUCGACAAGCAUAUUUUUACUAGUUCGAUGAGUAACUUUAUGUAAAAGAAUAGUCAAAAAGGAAAGACGCUAUGAUCCUUAGACUAGUGGCGGAUUGGAUUCAUUAUUUUAUUUGGGCAGAGUCUAGACGUGAUAUUGACUGCUUCAGUAGCUUCUGCCUAGUGGUGAGAGGACUUACUUUGUCUACCCGGUCAAAAUUCUUCUUUCUUGUCAUAAAUUUUGCUAGUAUGAUCUUUUUUCGGUGCCUGCUUCGAGAGCAUUUUUUCUCCUUUGCAGUGAAUGUUUGUCUUUUCCCGUGAUUGUUCGAUAAUACUUCUCUUUUCAUCUCUUUUGAAUAUAUUUUUGGGCCUAUUCCGGCCAUUUUACUUUUAUUAGGGCUCUAUUUUAUGCCACCAUCGAUUUAGCUGACACAUUAUUCUCCAGUAUGAUAACAUGUCAUCCUCCGGUCGGCUGACACAUUAUCAGUCAGCUAGAACGAGUCAGUUGAGAUGCCAUCAUUCAAUUGACAUGUAAUCAUUAUUGUCAAGUGACAUGUCAUCUUCAAUAAGUACCACGUUGCAUAGAGCAAUAGUUUCCUGUCAACACCACGUGCCUGUCCUGCCAUACGUUUCCAUUUCCAGUUAGCGCCACAUUGGCGUCAAGCAACAAAUCUCUUCAGUCAGCAUCUUUCUCGAGCCAAGCCAUUGGGCAAUGCCACAUUGCUGCUCUAGUAACGACUCAUUAAUGACACACCACUAUCCAAAAACUCGUUAUAUUCUUGUCGUCGUCCAGCAGCAUGUAACUUCUCAGUUUGCAUUACGUCAUUGUUCAACAAGUUAUAUUUCAUGUUAGUGCCUUAAUAGAGGCAUGUUAUCCUCGACAUGUCACUUUAGUCAGUGCCACAUCGACAAUGCGUUCCCCACUUUAGUGACCAUUUAGUCACAUCCUUAGGUGCUAUAUAAGAAAUCCCUGUUGUUCAUUGUUAAUAAACCACGUCAGUAAGAAGUUUCCUCCUUUUUCCCCUCUUGUUUCAGACAACACUUCUCAUGCAUGCUUAGUGUUCUUAAAGGCGAGCGCCUUUCACCUUUGGUGACGAGGUGUGGCGAGGCGAGGCCUCUCCGCCUAUUUCCAGCAAGGCGUGGCGAAUUCAAAAAGGCGUGCCAUGGCGACGUGACGUGGUGAUGCAAUAGGCGUCACCUUUUUUUUUUUUCUUUAAAAGUCAGAUUUAAUAAUUAAAAGCCAAAAUUAGGGUUUUUUUUUGGGUAAUUUUGCACACUCACCUCAGAUUAAGCGUCGCGGCUGCUUCUCCUCCUCUUCUCCUCAGAUUUUGCAAGUCACGACCCCUAGAGACUUACGUGACCUUUGCGAAUCACGACGCUGCUGCUCAGGUACGACUUACGCGACUGCUAUUCAGGUAUGACCCCUGGAGACUUACGCGAAUCUCUUCUUCUCUUCUAGUUCUUCCCUUCUUUUCUUCUUCUUCUCUGUUUUUCAGCAGUACGACUAUGCUGCUCUGUUUUUCAGACCCUCUAUUUUUAGUGGUAGACUGGUGGUGAAGUGUGAACUGAGUGCUUUGUUCUUCUGUUAUGUUGAAGUGCUCUGCUGCUUGGCCUAUAUUUUUUU